CUCUUCCAAUCUGGGGGACCCUGGCAGAUGACGGCUCCCGUCUCUAAGGCUGCAGUGGCAGAAGAAGGGAGUAAGGUGAUACGCAAACUCACUCUUACAGCUUCUGCCUAGAAAUGACAUGCUCCUUCUACUCACAUUUUAGAAGCUAAAAGCUGCUCACAGAGCUAAAUCUAAGUUACGGAGGGCACUGGGGUGGGGGGGAAGGUGAAGAAUGUAAUCCUAUUGCUCUAGGCAGAAGAAGGGAAGUGGAACAUUUGUGAAAGGCCCUGGUGAUUACCGAGCCCCUAAGUCCGGGUUCUCCCCACUUCACCUUGUUGAAUACUCAAUAGGAUGAUGUUUAAAAAAAGAAAAAAAAAAAAGAUAAAUGGACCUGUCUCCAUUUCACUUAGGG